UACGAAGGGUGCAAGCGUUAAUCGGAAUUACUGGGCGUAAAGCGUGCGUAGGCGGUUUGUACAGUCAGAUGUGAAAUUCCUGGGCUCAACCUGGGGGGCUGCAUUUGAUACGUAUGGACUGGAGUGAGGAAGAGGGUCGUGGAAUUCCCAGUGUAGAGGUGAAAUUCGUAGAUAUUAGGAAGAACACCAGUGGCGAAGGCGGCUCACUGGUCCGGUACUGACGCUGAGGUGCGAAAAGCGUGGGGGAGCAAACAGG
rnacentral:rRNA from 1 species